GGUGUAGCGUAUAGGCGAUGUUUUCGUGGGUGUUGAGUUGGUGCAAGUUUCGCUGGAAAGCGGCAGCAUAGACGGUUUUACUCCGGUAUUGCCAACUCUCGCUUGUGAGCUCAUUGCCUGGGAGUCGGGUUGUUUGGAAUCGCAGCCCAAAGCUGGUGGUAAACUUCACCUAAGGCUAAAUACGACCAAGAGACCGAUAGUAAACAAGUACCGUGAGGGAAAGUUGAAAAGCACUUUGAAAAGAGAGUGCAAGAGAACGUGAAACCGAUGUAAUGGAAGCGAAUGGAGCCGACGUAUCUAGUGCGUAUUCAUUCGGGUGGGCAUAUUAGGUCUGGUUAUUAUUCCGUAGAGGUUUAUAGCUGGUACUGUUUGUAUGUUCAUUCGAUGCAUUUACGUACGGAGUGCGCUGAGCCGGUUGACUUUGCGGUUGUAAGCGUGUCUAGAGGAUCGACUUCGGUUGAAAACCUGGGCGCGUGGACGGCUGUUGAGGUUGGCUGUAGAUUGGGUCGCAGGCUAACGUGUUCGUUGUGCUUGGAUCAUGAUGCAUUGGCGUGACACAUGUGUGCCGUUAUUGUGUUGUGGUUUGGGUGGGAUGAAUGCUCUGUGUGCUCGCUCGGUGUCUAGUUGGUCACCCAUUUGACCCGUCUUGAAACACGGACCAAGGAGUUUAAGGCGUGCGCGAGUCAAUGGGCUGUGAAACCCAAAGGCGAAAUGAAAGUGAAACACUCAGUGUUUUAGGUGCGAUCGGUAGGUGUUUCGAUGCCCGUCGAGCAGCAUCGCUCCGUUCCUGGGACUUGUCCUGGUGCGGCAGCUGAGCGUACGCCUUGAGACCCGAAAGAUGGUGAACUAUGCCUGAACAGGACGAAGCCAGAGGAAACUCUGGUGGAAGUUCGAAGCGGUU
rnacentral:rRNA from 1 species